rnacentral:rRNA from 1 species
GGGCCCGCACAAGCGGUGGAGCAUGUGGUUUAAUUCGAUGCAACGCGAAGAACCUUACCAGGGUUUGACAUCCUGCGAAUCUCUUGGAAACAGGAGAGUGCCUUCGGGAACGCAGUGACAGGUGGUGCAUGGCUGUCGUCAGCUCGUGUCGUGAGAUGUUAGUUAAGUCCUGUAACGAGCGCAACCCCUAUCCUUAGUUGCCAUCGGGUAAAGCCGGGGACUCUAGGAGGACUGCCCGCGCAAGCGGAGAGGAAGGCGGGACGAUGUCAGGUCAUCAUGGCCCUUACGCCCAGGGCGACACACGUGCUACAAUGGCGCAUACAGAGGGUCGCGAAGCAGCAAUGCC